AACGCAAAUUGCGCUCGAGGCUUCGGCCAAGAGCAUGUCUGCCUCAGCGUCGGGUUAAUACUCAUGUGCACAUUCGCCACCAGGAAUGUGUGUGUGGAGCUGAUUGUCUCGGUGCAGGCCUUCUGUCGGGAGGUGUGUGAUCCGGGUUAGUUGAAGUGCAGAUGUCAAACCAUGGACCGUAAAUCGGGCCUCUACUGGGUAGGCAACUUGUUUGAUGAAAUGCUUUAGUAGAUGGCUUGGGUACUGUCUUUGGCACUAAACAGGAGUGUCAGUUCAAUCAGAUACAACCAAAUCCCAUUUUCUCGAGCUGAGCUCAGGCAAGAUCAACCGCUGAACUUAA
rnacentral:misc_RNA from 1 species